UCAGCUUUCCUGCGGUGUUGGUGUUGGUUU
rnacentral:piRNA from 1 species